rnacentral:rRNA from 1 species
AAGACGAACGCUGGCGGCGUGCUUAACACAUGCAAGUCGAGCGGUGAUCCUCCUUCGGGAGGUGAUCAGCGGCGAACGGGUGAGUAACACGUGGGCAACCUGCCCCUCACACUGGGAUAACCUCGGGAAACCGGGGCUAAUACCGGAUACGACCUCGAGCGGCAUCUCUUGAGGUGGAAAGCUCCGACGGUGAGGGAUGGGCCCGCGGCCUAUCAGCUUGUUGGUGGGGUAAUGGCCUACCAAGGCGACGACGGGUAGCCGGCCUGAGAGGGCGACCGGCCACACUGGGACUGAGACACGGCCCAGACUCCUACGGGAGGCAGCAGUGGGGAAUAUUGCGCAAUGGGCGAAAGCCUGACGCAGCGACGCCGCGUGAGGGAUGAAGGCCUUCGGGUUGUAAACCUCUUCAGCAGGGACGAAGCGAAAGUGACGGUACCUGCAGAAGAAGCACCGGCUAACUACGUGCCAGCAGCCGCGGUAA